UUACUCACAGGAUUCUAUCCAACGGUGCUGUGUGAAGAACAAGAGCCAUACUGUGUUGCAUGAUCACAGUUCUUUUAAAAGGCCCUUUUACAGUCCAGAAUUUAGAUCUAUGCUACAACACAUGUGGAAGUGGUGAAAUAAGUGGGAAUGGCAGAAGGAAGACCUUCUUCUCACCUGUUGUUACAUUUUGCAUCUGUCUCCAGAGAUGUGCAAACUCUAUGUUGAAAUCCAGUGAUCCUACUUUCUAAUGAAUCUCUAAUGAAAAGGAGUCAAAUAAAUAAUGUACUUAAAGAAAGCUCUG